rnacentral:misc_RNA from 1 species
GAUGAAGAACGCAGCGAAAUGCGAUACGUAAUGUGAAUUGCAGAAUUCAGUGAAUCAUCGAAUCUUUGAACGCAUAUUGCGCUCUCUGGUAUUCCGGAGAGCAUGCUUGUUUGAGUAUCAGUAAACACCUCAACUUCCAUAUCUUUUUUGAAAUGGGAGUUGGACUUGAGUGAUCCCAACGCUUUUCCUCACCGAAAAGUGGCGGGUUACUUGAAAUGCAGGUGCAGCUGGACUUUUCUCUGAGCUAUAAGCAUAUCUAUUUAGUCUCCCUAAAAAACAGAUUAUUACCUUUGCUGCAGCUAACAUAAAGGAGAUUAGUUCUUGUGCUGACUGAUGCAGGAUUCACAAAGACGGCUUCGGCCGACUUUGUAAACUCGAUCUCAAAUCAAGUAAGACUACCCGCUGAACUUAAGCAUAUCAAUAAGCGGAGGA